rnacentral:rRNA from 1 species
UACGUAGGGUGCGAGCGUUAAUCGGAAUUACUGGGCGUAAAGCGUGCGCAGGCGGUUUUGUAAGCCAGAUGUGAAAAUCCCCCGGGCUUAACCUGGGAAUGGCAUUUGGGACUGCAAGGCUGGAGUGUGGCAGAGGAGACUGGAAUUCCUGGUGUAGCAGUGAAAUGCGUAGAUAUCAGGAGGAAUACCGAUGGCGAAGGCAGGUCUCUGGGACUGACACUGACGCUGAGGAGCGAAAGCCAGGGGAGCAAACGGG